rnacentral:rRNA from 1 species
UACGGAGGGUGCGAGCGUUGUCCGGAUUUAUUGGGUUAAAGGGUGCGUAGGUGGCUGUUUAAGUCAGUGGUGAAAUACGGUUGCUCAACAAUCGAGGUGCCAUUGAUACUGAAUAGCUUGAAAUAAUUGGAGGCUGCCGGAAUGGAUGGUGUAGCGGUGAAAUGCAUAGAUAUCAUCCAGAACACCGAUUGCGAAGGCAGGUGGCUACGAUUUGUUUGACACUGAGGCACGAAAGCAUGGGGAGCAAACAGG